UACGAAGGGGGCUAGCGUUGUUCGGAAUUACUGGGCGUAAAGGGCUCGUAGGCGGCCAACUAAGUCAGACGUGAAAUCACUCAGCUUAACUGGGGAACUGCGUCUGAUACUGGAUGGCUUGGAUUCGGGAGAGGAAUGCGGAAUUCCAGGUGUAGCGGUGAAAUGCGUAGAUAUCUGGAGGAACACCGGUGGCGAAGGCGGCAUUCUGGACCGACAUUGACGCUGAGGAGCGAAAGCCAGGGGAGCAAACGGG
rnacentral:rRNA from 1 species